AUACGUAGGUGGCAAGCGUUGUCCGGAAUUAUUGGGCGUAAAGCGCGCGCAGGUGGUUCCUUAAGUCUGAUGUGAAAGCCCCCGGCUCAACCGGGGAGGGUCAUUGGACACUGGGGAACUUGAGUGCAGAAGAGGAUAGCGGAAUUCCAAGUGUAGCGGUGAAAUGCGUAGAGAUUUGGAGGAACACCAGUGGCGAAGGCGACUGUCUGGUCUGUAACUGACACUGAGGCGCGAAAGCGUGGGGAGCAAACAGGAUUAGAUACCCUGGUAGUCCACGCCGUAAACGAUGAGUGCUAAGUGUUGGGGGGUUUCCGCCCCUCAGUGCUGCAGCUAACGCAUUAAGCACUCCGCCUGGGGAGUACGGUCGCAAGACUGAAACUCAAAUGAAUUGACGGGG
rnacentral:rRNA from 1 species